GAAACACAGAAGCGUAACAAAGUCUGAAACCAUUUAACACAUACUGACUUUAACAUUAGAGCCGUUUAAAGGACAAUGGAAAUCAUUGCGAGCAUCGUACGAUGGUUUACGGAGAGGUACGAAGGUAUACGAUAACGACGUUUACCGAUGAAACCUCAAGAAAGACAACCGCGGGAAGCAAAUUUAUAAAUUUUUCCCCAUAAUAUUACAUUUGGGCCGAGUUUUAAACGUAAACAUUCACAAGUUAGGGUAAAAUAUUUGUAAAUUCAAGACCAUAGCUAGCCUUUUAGCUCUUCACAAUUCACGGCACGCAUAUUAAUCACGAUUCACGGAAUGGUAUUUCUUUAAAUCACGAAUCACGAAGCACGAAUAAUUGCUAAUCACGAGUCACGAAAAUACCCUUGCCCCCCACCCCUGU